rnacentral:rRNA from 1 species
CGUGUCGCGUAAGCGACCGGAUUUCUAGCCCUGAGGGCGCAGUGAGGGGCUGGGGGAAGUGGCGAAAGGGGCAGUAAUGCGUGGGUAACCUACCCCGGGGACUGGGAUAGCCUUCCUAACGGAAGGGUAAUACCGGGCGAUGUGGACGAGGGGCAUCUCUUGGACACGAAAUGAGUUUCGCCUCGGGAGGGGCUCACGUGGUAUUAGCUUGUUGGUGAGGUAACGGCUCACCAAGGCCAAGAUGCCUAGCAGGUGUGAGAGCACGACCUGCGCCACUGGCACUGAGACACUGGCCAGACUCCUACGGGAGGCUGCAGUCGAGGAUCUUCGGCAAUGGGCGCAAGCCUGACCGAGCGACGCCGCGUGCGCGAUGAAGGCCUUCGGGUUGUAAAGCGC